rnacentral:tRNA from 186 species
GGGGCUGUAGCUCAGCUGGGAGAGCGCAUCGUUCGCAAUGAUGAGGUCAGGGGUUCGAUCCCCCUCAGCUCCACCA